GAUGAACGCUGGCGGCGUGCCUAAUACAUGCAAGUCGAGCGAACAGACGAGGAGCUUGCUCCUCUGACGUUAGCGGCGGACGGGUGAGUAACACGUGGAUAACCUACCUCUAAUACUGGGAUAACUUCGGGAAACCGGAGCUAAUACCGGAUAAUAUAUUGAACCGCAUGGUUCAAUAGUGAAAGACGGUUUUGCUGUCACUUAUAGACGGAUCCGCGUCGCAUUAGCUAGUUGGUAAGGUAACGGCUUACCAAGGCGACGAUGCGUAGCCGACCUGAGAGGGUGAUCGGCCACACUGGAACUGAGACACGGUCCAGACUCCUACGGGAGGCAGCAGUAGGGAAUCUUCCGCAAAGGGCGAAAGCCUGACGGAGCAACGCCGCGUGAGUGAUGAAGGUCUUCGGAUCGUAAAACUCUGUUGUUAGGGAAGAACAAAUGUGUAAGUAACUAUGCACGUCUUGACGGUACCUAAUCAGAAAGCCACGGCUAACUACGUG
rnacentral:rRNA from 1 species